rnacentral:rRNA from 1 species
GGACUACAGGGGUAUCUAAUCCUGUUUGCUCCCCUUGCUCUCGCGCCUCAGCGUCUGGUUAAAGCUAGAAAACCGCUUUCGCCACAGGUGUUCUUCCACAUAUCUACGCAUUUCACCGCUACACGUGGAAUUCCGUUCUCUCCGCCUUUCCUCAAGGUAUACAGUUUCACAUGCCGCUCCGGUUUUGAGCUCCGGAAUUUCACAUCUGACUUGUAUUCCCGCCUACGCGCCCUUUACGCCCAAUAAUUCCGAUUAAUGCUCGCACCCUCCGUAUUACCGCGGCUGCUGGCAC